ACUCCCUACGGGAGGCAGCAGUGGGGAAUAUUGCACAAUGGGCGCAAGCCUGAUGCAGCCAUGCCGCGUGUGUGAAGAAGGCCUUCGGGUUGUAAAGCACUUUCAGUCGUGAGGAAGGUAGUGUAGUUAAUAGCUGCAUUAUUUGUACGUUAGCGACAGAAGAAGCACCGGCUAACUCCGUGCCAGCAGCCGCGGUAAGUACGGAGGGUGCGAGCGUUAAUCGGAAUUACUGGGCGUAAAGCGCAUGCAGGUGGUUUGUUAAGUCAGAUGUGAAAGCCCGGGCGUCAACCUCGGAAUAGCAUUUGAAACUGGCAGACUAGAGUACUGUAGAGGGGGUAGAAUUUCAGGUGUAGCGGUGAAAUGCGUAGAGAUCUGAAGGAAUACCGGUGGCGAAGGCGGCCCCUGGACAGAUACUGACACUCAGAUGCGAAAGCGUGGGAGCAAACAGGAUUAGAUA
rnacentral:rRNA from 1 species